GCCUGGGUGGCUCAGUCAGUUGAGUGUCUGACUUAGGCUCAGUUCAUGAUCUCACAGUUGGUUCGUGAGUUCGAGCCCCACAUUGGGCU
rnacentral:tRNA from 1 species